GACAGAGGGUGCUAGCGUUGUUCGGAAUUACUGGGCGUAAAGGGCGCGUAGGCGGUCUGUUAAGUUCGGUGUGAAAUCCCCUGGCUCAACUGGGGAACUGCGCUGGAGACUGGCAGACUCGAGUACCGGAGAGGAGAGUGGAAUUCUUGGUGUAGCAGUGAAAUGCGUAGAUAUCAAGAGGAACACCAGUGGCGAAGGCGAGUCCCUGGACGAUACCUGACACUGAGGCACGAAAGCCAAGGGAGCAAACAGG
rnacentral:rRNA from 1 species